rnacentral:rRNA from 1 species
CGUGUAGGCGGUCGCAUAAGUCGGAUGUGAAAGCCCUCGGCUCAACCGGGGAAGUGCACCCGAAACUGUGUGACUGGAGUCUCGGAGAGGAUAGUGGAAUUCUCGGUGUAGAGGUGAAAUUCGUAGAUAUCGAGAGGAACACCGGUGGCGAAGGCGGCUAUCUGGACGAUGACUGACGCUGAGACGCGAAAGCGUGGGGAGCAAACAGGAUUAGAUACCCUGGUAGUCCACGCCGUAAACGAUGGGUGCUAGGUGUCGCGGGCUUUGACCCCUGCGGUGCCGCAGCUAACGCAUUAAGCACCCCGCCUGGGGAGUACGGCCGCAAGGCUAAA